AUUGAACGCUGGCGACAGGCCUAACACAUGCAAGUCGAACGAGUGGCGGACGGGUGAGUAAUGUCUGGGAAACUGCCUGAUGGAGGGGGAUAACUACUGGAAACGGUAGCUAAUACCGCAUACCAUCAGAUGUGCCCAGAUGGGAUUAGCUUGUUGGUGGGGUAACGGCUCACCAAGGCGACGAUCCCUAGCUGGUCUGUGAGGAUGACCAGCCAAACUGGAACGAGAGCACGGUCCAGACUCCUACGGGGGGCAUCAUUGGGGAAUAUUGCACAAUGGGCGCAAGCCUGAUGCAGCCAGGCCGCUUGUAUGAAGAAGGCCUUCGGGUUUUAAAGUACUUUCAGCGGGGAGGCGUUACCCGCAGAAGAAGCACCGGCUAACUCCGUGCCAGCAGCCGCGGUAAUUC
rnacentral:rRNA from 1 species